rnacentral:rRNA from 1 species
CCUACGGGUGGCAGCAGUGAGGAAUAUUGGUCAAUGGGCGAGAGCCUGAACCAGCCAAGUCGCGUGAAGGAUGACGGCCCUACGGGUUGUAAACUUCUUUUGUCAGGGAGCAAUUGAGUCCACGUGUGGGCUUAGCGAGAGUACCUGAAGAAAAAGCAUCGGCUAACCCCGUACCAGCAGCCGCGGUAAUACGGAGGAUGCGAGCGUUACCCGGAUUUGUGGGGUUUAAAGGGUGCGUAGGCGGAAUAUAAAGUCAGCGGUAAAAAUUCGGGGCCAAACCCAGUCGUGCCGUUGAAACUGGUGUUCUUGAGUGCGCGAGAAGUAUGCGGAAUGCGUGGUGUAGCGGUGAAAUGCAUAGAUAUCACGCAGAACUCCGAGUGCGAAGGCAGCAUACCGGCGCCCAACUGACGCUGAAGCACGAAAGCGUGGGUAUCGAACAGGAUUAGAUACCCCUGUAGUC